rnacentral:rRNA from 1 species
AGCGAACGCUGGCGGCGUGCCUAACACAUGCAAGUCGAACGUGAAAAGGGAAACCUGAGUAAAGUGGCGUACGGGUGAGUAACGCGUAGGUAAUCUACCCCAGAAUCUGGAAUAACCUGCCGAAAGGCGGGCUAAUACUGGAUACAGCGAUGGAACUCGUAAGAGAGUUUUUCGGGAAAGGGAGCCCGCAAGGGCCUUCGUUCUGGGAUGAGCCUGCGUCUCAUUAGCUAGUUGGUAAGGUAACGGCUUACCAAGGCGAUGAUGAGUAGCUGGUCUGAGAGGAUGGACAGGCACACUGGAACUGAAACACGGGCCAGACUCCUACGGGAGGCAGCAGUGGGGAAUCUUGCGAAAUGGACGAAAGUCUGACGCAGCCACGCCGCGUGAGGGAAGAAGGCCUUCGGGUUGUAAAGCUCUGUCGGAUGGGACGAAAAUGUUCAUAGUGAAUAGCUAGGAGGACUGACGGUACCAUCAAAGGAAGCACCGGCUAACUCCGUG